rnacentral:rRNA from 1 species
CUGGCGGCAGGCCUAAUACAUGCAAGUCGAGCGCGCCCUUCGGGGUGAGCGGCGGACGGGUGAGUAACGCGUGGGAAUAUGCCCUUCUCUAAGGAAUAGCCUCUGGAAACGGAGAGUAAUACCUUAUACGCCCUUUGGGGGAAAGAUUUAUCGGAGAAGGAUUAGCCCGCGUUAGAUUAGGUAGUUGGUGGGGUAAUGGCCUACCAAGCCUACGAUCUAUAGCUGGUUUGAGAGGAUGAUCAGCCACACUGGGACUGAGACACGGCCCAGACUCCUACGGGAGGCAGCAGUAGGGAAUCUUAGACAAUGGGGGCAACCCUGAUCUAGCCAUGCCGCGUGUGUGAUGAAGGCCCUAGGGUCGUAAAGCACUUUCGCCAGAGAUGAUAAUGACAGUAUCUGGUAAAGAAACCCCGGCUAACUCCGUGCCAGCAGCCGCGGUAAUACGGAGGGGGUUAGCGUUGUUCGGAAUUACUGGGCGUAAAGCGCACGUAGGCGGAUUAGUAAGUUAGAGGUGAAAUCCCAGGGCUCAACCCUGGAACUGCCUUUAAUACUGCUAGUCUUGAGUUCGAGAGAGGUAAGUGGAAUUCCGAGUGUAGAGGUGAAAUUCGUAGAUAUUCGGAGGAACACCAGUGGCGAAGGCGGCUUACUGGCUCGAUACUGACGCUGAGGUGCGAAAGUGUGGGGAGCAACCAGGAUUAGAUACCCUGGUAGUCCACACCGUAAACGAUGAA